rnacentral:piRNA from 1 species
UAUGGUGAUGCCUUGAGAGAGAUCUUC